GAUGAUGGAGUGGCCGGCCUGCUGUGAAUUGGUUGUUGAUUCUGGGUUUUCUGCAGGGACAAAAACAAUGGCGAAAACCAAUACCCCUCGCUGUGUUUCUCCUUGAUUUUUCUCUUCUUUCGGUGUUUUUUCUUUGCUUUGUUUUGUGCUCUGUUUGGUUUCCCUCUGUCCCCUGGAUUUCGACCUCUGCCGUUCCACCCCCCC
rnacentral:lncRNA from 1 species